CCAAUAGCGUAUAUUAAAGUUGUUGCAGUUAAAAAGCUCGUAGUUGAAUUUCGGGAUUGACACAUCGGUCGUGCCUUAAGGGGUAUGAACUGGUGUAGUCAAUUUCUCACCUUCUGGAGAACCACGAUGCCCUUAAUUGGGUGUCGCGGGGAACCAGGACCUUUACUUUGAAAAAAUUAGAGUGUUUAAAGCAGGCAUUUUGCUUGAAUACAUUAGCAUGGAAUAAUAAAAUAGGACGGCAUGAUUCUAUUUUGUUGGUUUCUAGGAUCACCGUAAUUAUUAAUAGGGAUAGUUGGGGGCAUUAGUAUUCAAUUGUCAGAGGUGAAAUUCUUGGAUUUAUUGAAGACUAACUACUGCGAAAGCAUUUGCCAAGGAUGUUUUCAUUAAUCAAGAACGAAAGUUAGGGGAUCGAAGACGAUCAGAUACCGUCGUAGUCUUAACCAUAAACUAUGCCGACUAGGAAUCAGACGAUGUUAAUUUUUUAAUGACUCGUUUGGCACCUUACG
rnacentral:rRNA from 1 species